rnacentral:tRNA from 2 species
GGGCCCGUAGUUCAAUUGGUUAGAACCCGCCGCUCAUAACGGCGUUGUUGCAGGUUCGAGUCCUGCCGGGCCCACCA